GGUUCGAUUCCGGAGAGGGAGCCUGAGAAAUGGCUACCACUUCUACGGAAGGCAGCAGGCGCGCAAAUUACUCAAUCCCAAUACGGGGAAGUAGUGACAAUAAAUAUCAAUACCUAUCCUUAACGGAGGGCAAUUGAAAUGAACACAAAUUAAAACUCUUAAUUAACACAAUUGGAGGGCAAGUCUGGUGCCAGCAGCCGCGGUAAUUCCAGCUCCAAUAGCAUAUACUAAAGUUGUUGCAGUUAAAAAGCUCGUAGUUGAAGUUAAAGUUUUAUUGGGCUAACGUUUUUUACCGCUCUGCGGCUAAAAUAACUCCAAUAAUUCUUUUUUUAAUAGCUCAGUUUCUAGGUCUUUGACUCUAGUUAUUUGGGCAUUUCACUGUGAGAAAAUUGUGGUGUUUAAAGCAGGCGUCUCGUCUGAUCUUUUGCAGCAUGGUAUGAUGGAACAUGACAUUUUACGCUAUUGGUUUGCGUCUAAAGUGUAAUGAUUAAUAGGGAUGGAUGGGGAUGUUCAUAUUGGG
rnacentral:rRNA from 1 species